rnacentral:misc_RNA from 1 species
GUGAAUCAUCAAAUUUUUGAACGCAAAUUGCACUAUCCUCGGAGAGUAUGCCUGUUUGAGGGUCAGCCUAUAAAAAACGACAUAGUUGAGGUUGCGCGGUGGCGUCCGUCGGAAAUUGGGUCAUCUUAAAUCCUGUUGAUUUAAGCGAGUUAGAAUUUUCUUUUGGUUACAUGAACGGUUAUAAGAUAUAUUUAUUUACACGUUUAAGGUAUCGAUUUUUACUAGACGUGACCAUUAUAUGGGAUGGAGCCCAGAAUCUUUCAUGAAUAGACAUAAGA